rnacentral:rRNA from 1 species
GUGCCAGCCGCCGCGGUAAAACGUAGGUUCCGAGCGUUAUCCGGAUUUACUGGGCGUAAAGCGCGUUCAGGCGGUUUGGCAAGUCGGGCAUGAAAUCUCUCGGCUCAACCGGGAGAGGUUGUCCGAUACUGUCAGACUGGAGGGCAGUAGAGGGUGGUGGAAUUCCGGGUGUAGUGGUGAAAUGCGUAGAGAUCCGGAGGAACACCAGUGGCGAAAGCGGCCACCUGGACUGCACCUGACGCUGAAACGCGAAAGCUAGGGGAGCGAACGGGAUUAGAUACCCGCGUAGUCC